CACUAUGCCUAGCCCUAAACAUUGAUAGUAAAAUACCCCUACUAUCCGCCUGGGAACUACGAGCAUUAGCUUGAAACCCAAAGGACUUGGCGGUGCUUUAGACCCACCUAGAGGAGCCUGUUCUAGAACCGAUUAUCCCCGUUCAACCUCACCUUUCCUUGUUUCCCCCGCCUAUAUACCACCGUCGUCAGCUUACCCUGUGAAGGGCUUAUAGUAAGCAAGAUUGGCACAGCCCAAAACGUCAGGUCGAGGUGUAGCGUAUGGAAAGGGAAGAAAUGGGCUACAUUCCCUAGCAUUAAGGAACUACGAAUGAUUACACUGAAACACGUAUCUGAAGGAGGAUUUAGCAGUAAGCAGGAAAUAGAGCGUUCUGCUGAAACCGGCCCUGAAGCGCGCACACACCGCCCGUCACUCUCCCCAAGCUUCCACCACCCAAUAACUUAAAACUUUUCAACUGCAAAGGGGAGGCAAGUCGUAA
rnacentral:rRNA from 1 species